rnacentral:rRNA from 1 species
UGAGGAAUAUUGGUCAAUGGGGGCAACCCUGAACCAGCCAAGUCGCGUGAAGGAUGAAGGUCUUAUGGAUUGUAAACUUCUUUUAUACAGGAAUAAAUUGGGGGACGUGUCCCCUUUUGCAUGUACUGUAUGAAUAAGGAUCGGCUAACUCCGUGCCAGCAGCAGCGGUAAUACGGAGGAUCCGAGCGUUAUCCGGAUUUAUUGGGUUUAAAGGGUGCGCAGGCGGGAUGUUAAGUCGGCGGUGAAAUUUUGCAGCUCAACUGUAAAAGUGCCUUCGAUACUGGCCUCCUUGAGUGUGGAUGAAGUAGGCGGAAUUUGUGGUGUAGCGGUGAAAUGCUUAGAUAUCACGAGGAACUCCGAUUGCGCAGGCAGCUUACUAAGCCACAACUGACGCUCAUGCACGAAGGCGUGGGGAUCAAACA